AUGCUUUGUUCUUAUGAAGUUUGCUCGCGGCCUUGCCCACCUCCCUUGUGCGCCUUUUGUGAUGGCCUCAGCAACACAAGCGAUCACACUGAGCCAUAUCAAAUCCUAUACUACAAGCUCAAGAAGACGGCUCUCCGCCUCGCAGAAUGGAGUAGGAGACUUUUCUCGAAGGCAAAAAUUCACCACCAUGCCGCUCUUUUGGUGAUCCUUCGCCUCGACAUCGCCCAAGAGGACAGGCUCCUCUCCACCGAGGAGCUCGACCUUCGGGCCAGGCUUAAGAGAAGGGUCAUCGCCUUGGCUGUGCUAGAAAGAUCGCGCAAGAAACAAUGUGCAAGAAUUUCAAAUCUUAAAGAAGGGGACGCCAAUACAAAUUUUUCCACCGCCGAGUCACCGCUAGGAGGAGAAAAAACCAUAUUCACAGGAUCAAGAACGAUCAUGGUUGGGUCACCGAGCACGCUGCCAAAGAGAAACUAA
rnacentral:rRNA from 1 species